UCCAAUACUAAAUUGGAGACCCUCUUGAACAAGACUUUCUUUUCCUUUUAAUUUCUAUCUUCUUUGAUAUUUGCUUGAAACUUUAAUUUUAACAUUUAGAUAUCUUCAAUUUUUGCCCUAUUUUACACAAUUGGUGCUCCCUGAGAAGCAACAAAUUGGAGCAUAGCCAAAAAUGGAAGAAGAAUGAGGCAACAGAGAAUUUGGGAUUUUCUGUAGUAGGGUGGUUGCCUAUCUCUGCUUUGCCAGUGAUUUCUUCAUUAAUGGAACAAAAAGCCAACAACCCUUUGAAAUGAACAAGAAAAGCAAACAUUAUUAGUAAUAUUUACUUAUUCCAAACACACAUAAUCAUACUAUUUUUCCUUCUCCUUCUCCUCUCUUUGUGCUGCUGAAUGUUCAUGUUGUAAUGGGGCUAUGAUGAUUUUGAUUGAUUCCUUACUGGGCUAUCUUCAAUCACGGCAUUGAGGAAAAUCCGACCCGUAUCUUGGCAGGGCGACCCGGUUAAGGCUUUGAAUAGCAAACUGGUGUCUGCAGCCAUGGCGGCGUCACUUUUCUCUUUUGUUUUGUUAAGAAAUACAACAAUAUCUGAGCCCUUAAUAAUAACCCAUUACGGGUUUAAGCUGAAGAAUGAGGCAUCGGAGAAAUUGGGAUUUUCUGUGAAGGGUGGUUGCCCAUCUCUGCUUUGCCAGUGAUUUCUACCAAAAACAUCAACAGCCCUUUCAAAUAAACAAAAAAAUAAAAUAAUAAUUGGAUGAACUUCAUCCGAACACAUUACACACCCCUAUACUUGUCUUGAUUCUGAUGAUGAUGUUGUUGUUAAGGGGCUGUGAUGAUUGCUUGCUUCCCUUCUUGGCUAUGUUCAAUCACGGAAUUGAGGGAAAUACGACCCGUAUUGGCAGGGCGACCCAGUUAAGGCUUUGAAUAGCAAACUGGUGUCUGCAGCCAUCUCUGCGUCGCUCUUCUCUUUCACUUUAUUCAAAUACAGCAAAUCUGAGCCCUCAGUAACCUGUUUCAUGGUCUUUGAUGGGUUUGCGUUGAAAUUUCAGCUCUGAAGGUUGAGGCAUUGGAGAAACGAGGAAUUCAAUAGGAAAGAAUGAGGCAUUGGAGAAACAGGUCAUUCGAAGGUGAAAAAAACAAAGAAUUUCCCCAAACACGGAAAAGGUUAGCCCAGAAAGAAAGAAAUGAGGCAAAAUAUAGAGAGUUUGGGUUUUCCUUUAAAGCUUGUUAGAAAUGGUUGUUAAUCUAUUAUAUUGUAUUGUAUUGUAUUGCUUUGUGUUGUUACUUAACCGAUUUGGCAUGAUCAAGAUAUUACCUUAUUCUUUUUCAUUCUCAUUUUGUCUUUGCUUAUAAUUUAAUUAUCUUCCUUUAUUCUUUAUCAUACCAAUUUAUACUACUUGUAAACUUAUAACCUGCAUCCUACUAUUUUCAUAGGCUUCUCCUUUAAAUUAUUGAUGUGCGACAUUAUUGAACGACAAAAAAUGAUACAAUCCAUCCAAACAUUGUGUUCAUUAAAACAAUAUGAUACAACACAAUCCUAUACAAUGUCAUACAUUAUGAAUAAAUAUAUAACAACGAUCCAAACAGAGUGUUGAAGGGUGGUUGCCCCUCGUUCUGCCACAAAGUGGAAAACGGAUUUAACUGUUGUGGAUAUGAACCAUGAAGAGGCAGUUAUGAUAAUUAUAUUUGGGCUAACCAAUUUGGGCAUGGAGAUGACCUGUUCCAAUCUUGGCGUGGCAACCCAGUAUGAAAUGUGAUUGAGACUUCUCUCCCAUGCAACUGGCGUUUGCAGCCAUGUUCUGGCUGGCUUCUCUUUUGCCUCAUCAUAAAACACAUCUGGGCACCUUUUGCUCGGAAAGAGAGGAGAAAAAGAAUGUUUUUCUGUGAUAUAAUUUUAGUAUAUGUUGAACCUGCCAUUUUCUGAUACAAUAAUGUAUCACGAUGUGUUCCGUAUUUGCUGAACAUAGCAUAGAAGGUAAGAAAAAUGAGGAAUCAUAGAGGUUGGGAUUUCCUGUAAAGGGUGGUUGCCCCUCUCUGCUAUGCCCAUGAUUCUCCAUUCAUAACCAAAAAAACCAACAACCCUUUGUUAUAAACAAAAUAAAAUAAAAUUCUUUGUGCUGCUGCUGCUGCUGCUUAUCUUGUAAAGAGGCUGUGAAGAGUUAUGGUCUACGUUCAAUCUCGACAUUGAGAAAUAUCCGACCUGUAUAUUGGCUGCGGGACCCAGUAUGUCUUUAUGUAGCUAACUGUUGUCUGCAGCCAUGUUGUGGUCACCUUCUCUUUUGCUGUGGUACAAAAACUCAAAAUCUGAGCCUAUGACCAUUUUCAUUGUCUUCAAGAGACAGUUCAUUAUUGAAGGUGAAAACUUCCAAAGAGUUUACCCAAAAUACGGAAGGUUACCCAGAAACACUGAAAGAAAUGAGGCAAAACGGAGUGUAGCGAGACUUUCUUUAAAGGGUGGUUGCUCCUAUCCGUUUUUCCAUUGAUUUUCCUCCAUUAUCAAACAACCAACAACGCUUUGUUUCAUGAGAAAAGGAGAAAGAGAAAAUACAAAAUGCAAAAUGGAUUUAACUUAUAUACACAUCUUUUCUUGUGUGUGUGUGUACAUGUGUUUACUGUGUUGAUGAAAGGUACAUAAAGAGGCAGUGAUGAUGAUGUUUCUAUAUCUGGGCUAACCAAUUUGGGCAUGGAGAUAACCCAUCCCGUAUUUUGGCGUGGCAACACGGUAUGGCCUGUGAUUGAGACUUCUCACCCAGGCAAAGCCAUGGCUUGGGUGGCUUCUCUUUUGCCUUAUCAUAAAAUACAUUUGAGCCCCAUUUGCUUGGAAAGAGGAAAAAAAAGGAACUUUUCCGUGAUUUAGUUUUAUGUUGGACCUGUAAUUAUCUGCUACAAGCUAUAAAUCAUCUUAUAGUCCCAAUGUAUCACCAUAUUUGUUCACUGUCAGCUGAUCAUGGCCUUGAAAGGAUGAAGAAUGAGGCGUCAUAGGGAUUGGGGUUUUCCUUAAAGGGUGGGUUGCCCCUCUGCUAUGCCAGUGAUUUCCAUUGAUAUCCAAAAAAUUAACAGCUCUUUGAAGAAAACAAGAUAGGAAAAAAACAAAAUCGUCAUCCAAACAUGCCCUUUUGGAACAGUUACAGUCAUUGCAUUGAGAUUAUUGGACCCCACAAAUGGGAUACACUGGGUAUGUUUUUUGUUGUUUGAGUAUAUUAUUCAUAGCUCGCUUGGAUGGUUGUUAUCGUGACAGUGUUUCUGUGCCCUUCAAAUAUUUUUCUUUUCUUUUUUAAUGCUUUUGCGUAGCAUUGUAUGUUGACGGUGGGAGUGGUUGAAGCGAUGGUGUUGAGUAUAAUCAGUCUGCUUGAAAGAGGUGAGACAAUGAUUUUGAUCAAAUUUUAAUUCCCUUCUGAGCUGAUUAAUUGCACAUUUGAGGUUAUCUGAUCCUUAAAGAUUUUCUUAUGGUCUUGCAGCCAUGGCAUUGCUGGGACUCUCUUUUUGAAAGUUGAUGUUAGUGUUUGUUUUGUUCUUUCUCUUUUAUUUGGCUCGUAGCUAUACUCUUCUGAUCCCAUUGAUGUUUGAAACGCUUAUUAUGUCGAGAUUUUUUUUUAUUUGAGUCGGAUGUAUGACAGAAAAUGAGUCUUGUCCAUAAAGAUUGGGUAAGGUCUAAGUACAUCCUAACCUUCGACUACACCAAGUAUGUUAUUGUUGAAUGGAUGAUGAAAAUAGCUUUUACUAACAUUUGUUAGCAGUCUUAUUGACGUCUUACUGUGAUAUUUUAGUCUUUGCUUAAUUUUACUUUGAGUUUGAGAUUUUCUUUAUUUGUCUAUUUAUGAUGUUUUUGGAGUUCGCUUACACUUUAUACAUAUUUAAUAGCAUCGAUACUACUAAAUUGUAUACUGCUAAUGUUUCUACUGCAAUGUUUUACUUUUAUCAUCUUGUUUUUGGUUUCACUAAAUUGUAUAUAUUCUGAGCUUUUAGUUCUUUAAUAUAUGCCAAAAUUGUUAUAUUAUUUUGUGUAUUAAUUUUAGCAGAGGCUUUCUACUGUUCGGCUGCAACUUCUCUUAAAUGGAGUGUUCCCAAUUAGGCUCGUCUGCGUAUUGUACUCUCUGAGAAGCUACAAAUUCGAGCAUAGCCAAGAAUGGAAGAAGAAUGAGGCGACAGAGAAUUUGGGAUUUUCGGUAAACGGUGGUUGCCCAUCUCCAGUUUGCCAGUGAUUUCUUCGUUACACAAAAAACCAACAACCCUGUUAAAUGAUCUAGGAAACACGCGUAAGCACUCUUCUAUCUCUUCGACUUCUCUUUCUCUGCAUUUUUUGCUGCUGAUGUUGUAAUGGGGCUAUGAUGAUUGAUUGCUUCCUUUCUGGGCUAUGUUCAAUCACAGCAAUGAGAAAACCCCGACACGUAUCUUGGCAGGGCAACCCAGUUAAGGCUUCGAAUAGCAAACUGGUGUCUGCAGCCAUGGCGGCGUCGCUUUUCUCUUUUGGUUUAUUAAGAACUACAGCAAAAUCUGAGCCCUCCAUUUCGUGUUCUUGAAUGGUGAUUUCAUUCUUGGGUCGGAAAUCCCAUUACGGGUUUGAGACGAAGAAUGAGGCAUCUGAGAAAUUGGGAUUUUCUGUGAAGGGUGGUUGCCCUUCUCUGUUUUGCCAGUGAUAUCGCCAUUCAUAACUAAAAAACAACAACAGCCCUUUAAAAUAAACAAAAUAAAUAAAUAAAAAAUUGGAUGAACUUCGUCCGAACACACACCUGUACUUUUGAUGUUGUUGUUGUUGUUGAUGAUGUUGUAAAGGGGCUGUGAUGUUUGCUUGCUUCCUUUUUGAGCUUUUUUUCAAUCACGACAUUGAGAAAUCCGACCCGUGUCUUGGUGGGGCAACCUGGUUAAGGCUUUGAAUAGCAAAUUAGUGUCUGCAGCCAUGACGUUGUCGCUCUUCUCUGAGCCCUCAAUAAUUUGUUUCAUGGUUUUGGAUGGCGAGUCUUCUCUGGUGGGAAAACCUAUUAUGGGUUUGUGUUGAAAUUUCAGCUCCGAAGAAUGAGGUAUACAACAAAUGGGAAAUUCGAAGAUUAAAAAAAUAAAUAAUUUCCCUAAACAUGGAAAAGGUUAGCCUAGAAGGAAAGAAAUGAGCCAAAUUUAUCUUAUUUUAUUCUUUACCAUACCUAUUUAAAGUAGUGUUUAUCCCCAAAUUUGAUGCCCUUUUUCUAUAUCUUGAUAGUCCAAAAAUUCCGAGGCUAUGAAGAUUAUCUUAAAAACGACUGAAAAACAUUUGAGUUAAUUCCAAGUUGUGGCUUGGCAAAGAAAACUUGGAAGGUCUUUGUAGUCCCUUCUUACGAGGCAACCAAUCUUUGCAGCCAUGCCUGUUUUAGCUCUGUUCUUUGAUUACAUAGGCGAAAAUCUGAGCCUUCAUGAUCUGAUCACUGAAACAGUAUCUGUUAGGGGCUUUCUUGAAUUGAUCUAAAAAUUCAGUUACUGCUUUUAAAUCUUAAAAUUGAUUUUAUUUUUCAAAAAUGUUGUGGGAUAAUUUGGUUUUCAUGAAAAGAGUGGCGAAAAAUGGCAUGGUCUCGAGUCUUGAUGUCUUCAUGUCUCCACUAACUUAUUUCUGAAAUUUGGUGACUGGUCCCAAGCAAGAUUGAUGAUAGCUAACACAGGUGAUGGUGAAUGUUGAUAGGAAAGUAAAACAUUCAUUUCUGAAAUUUGAUGACUGGUCCCAAACAAGAGUCGAUGAUAGCAAACACAGGUGACGAUGAAUGUUGAUAGGAAAGUAGAACUACUUUUAGCUUCAACUGACAAGUCUAUCUAAAGUUUGGUCUGUAGUUAACUUGGUUUAUUGGUCUUUCUUUUUCAUUAUCACUUAUCCUAAUGUUAGGUAAUUAUAACUUCUAUGCAUCAUGAGUAUAUCUCUUACAAAGAAUCCCUCAAAUUGUCAAUGCAUGGUGAAUUCUCUGUUAGCGCUCUUUUGUAAGUCAGAAUAACCUUGAGUCUCACUGGACUUUUACUUGACAUGCUCAAAGCCUCUUGUUGCAAGGUCUUUAGCAUCUUGAAGACAAUUACAGGUAUUAGUACUCCCUGCUGUUGUGAUAAAUUUUUAGUUGAAGGAUGAAGCUUGAUUCUAAUAUGCCCAAGUAUUCAAAUGCAGAACUUUUGCCUUACGAUUCCAAGAAUUCUGGGAGGUCAUUCUUUAUUUUGCACUUUCUUGUGGUGCCUUUUGAGACUCUUCACUAAGAAAAUCACUGUACAUUUAGUUGGAACAGGUGUGAGAAGGGGAGGAAGAGGUACUGAGAAGUAGUAGUAUUUUAAUAUCGUCGUCUGGAAAUAUUUGAUGUUUAGACAUCUCUUUUUGCAUUGUUCUGUAGAAUAUGAUAUUUGGAACAUGUUAUCUCUACUUUUGGCAUAUGAAAGCUGGUGUAUGGGAAACUGAAAAUCCAUCAAAAAGGUUUGGGAAUUAGUACCUGCUGCUAUUUUUUGGGGGAUCUGCAAUGAACGGAAUUGUAGAUGCUUUGAUGAGAUUUUAACACCUACACAUCAAGCAAAAUGCUUUAGUGAUUGAAUAGUUAUGUUGUGUAUAUGAGCAAGCAUUAUCUCCCUCUCUUGUAAUUUUUGCUUGCAUCUUCUGGAUGCCUUAAAUGAAUUACUUUUACUUCAUCAAAAUAAGUAUUCCCAAGGUCAAAGCAAAAAUCCCCAAAAAACAUUCUUUUUUGUUGAUAUGAGUUGCUCAUCCUGACGAUGUAGUUAUUUUGGAGGAAAUCAGCUGAAGACCAGCUGAGUGCAAUGUACAUCUUCUUGGUGCACGGACAGAAAACAAAUUGCUUUAUUAUACUUAAUAAAUGGGGCUUAAAGACAUAGUUUCAUGAUGUUUAACCAUUUUCUUAAUCUUGUCCAAAUCUUGCAGACUCUUUCGGAGAUGAAGAGAAGGAACACUUUCAUACCCGGGUCUGCCGUGGCUGUAAAAAGUAAACUCUAUGCAUGAAGUUGUCAUUUGCAUAAUGAUAUGCAUAGUACUUUAGGGCAUGGAGAACUUAUUAAAAAUGGUUUGUGAUUUCUACUUCACCUCUAUUUUUAUGUCUUAUCUUCAUUUUAACUUAAUAUUUUCUGAAAUUCUAUGCAUGUUGUUAAUGAGCAAUUGUUUGUCAUCAUCAAUUUAUAUGUGAAACUUUAGGUUGUCCUAUGGCUGUGAGUUAAAGAAAUGAAAUUUGGCUCUCAAUGUGUCUAAGGUGAAAUAUUAUUGUUGUGAUUCUCCAGUGUUGUGAAAAGCGCAGAAAAGCGCGCUUCAAAGCGAGGCGACCCUUGUGCGCUUUUUUAUCUUGAGGCGAGGCGAUCUGAAAAAAGCUCUCGCUUCAGAUGAAGAAGCGAGAAGCGACCCUAAGGCAAAAGCGCAAUAAAGCGCGCUUUUUAUAAAAAAAGCGACAAUUAGUUUUUUUUUAAAAAAAAAUUAGGUUUUUUUUUAAAAAAUAAUCUAAAUAUAACCUUCUCUCUCCUCACGACUCUUCUUUCACGACUCUUUCCCUUCUUUCUCUCCUCGCGGCUCUUCUUUCACAAUACUUCUUUCCCUUCUUUCUCUCCUGACGAUUUCGCCUGAGGCUGCCUCUCUCUUCAACCUUGACCGCGACUGCAGGUAACUUUUUGUUCAUCUGUUUUUUAGCUAAUGUUUAUUAGUUCAUCUCUAUGAGUUUCUUUUCUCCUGAAAUAUACAAUCUUCGCCUGUGCUUCAUCUCUUUAUCUCUCUGAGUUUCGACUACUCUAGUUUUUUCUUCUUCUUCUCUUCUUUUCUUCAUCUCUGCUGCCUGCUCUGUUUCUAAUUACUGACUGCUGCCUCCUCUGUUUUUUUUCUUCAAUUCUUUUGCUUUUUUUUUUUAUCAGUCUAGCAACCUUGUUGAAGAAUAGGAGUUUGAAUCUUUGUGAUUUAAUUAUGUUUUUGAUUUUUUGCUUUAUAUGUUAUGACUUAUGAGUAUUUUUGCCUAUGUAAUUUCUUUCAAUCUAAGACUAUAUUACCUCUAUUUAGUUAUUUAAUAUUUUUUUAUUUUUAUACUAAAUGUCGCUUUUUUUAAAAAAAGUGCGCGCUUCGCUUCACGCUUCUCGCUUCUGUGAAGCAAGCCCUCAUCGCUUUUUUCCGCUUAUCACAAUCGAUGCUGAAACAAAAGAAAAGAUAGAAGAAGAGACAUAGAUAAGAAACAAUUGGCAACCAAAGGAUGUAUUAAUCCAAUAACCUCCAAUCUAGAUUGAGGAUUACUAUAAACUGGCAUGUCAAUGUGGUACUGUGAACAUUGCUAUAGCUUGUUCAUUUGUCUUUUUCUCGAUACAUUCACUGCUGCCACUGACAUUUAUCAAAUUGGUUGUCCAUAUUACACAUCUAUUGCUUGAACCCCGGAAUUUAACAAAAAAUGAAAAACUUUUUUGUUCGACCAUCUUUGUUAGCUUUUAUUUCUAUUUAAACAUGAAAGUUUUUUUGUAUAGACUAGGAAAUGAUUUUGUAAAAAUGAAUAUUAUGCAAUAAACAAAACUUUAGAUCACAAAUAUCAUGGCCACAUAGAUCAAAUCCAAGCUUGUAACUUUAUUAAAGCUAUUUAAAUAGGUUCUUCAAUUUUGACAUAGGAUAUUAUAAGAUAAAUCUAUUAAAAUUAAAAUGAAUUGAAAUUGUUUUAAUCGUUAAGAAUAAAAUCACAUGAAAUCAUUCUUAAAUCACCUUGAGAAACAUCAACAUUCAUCAUUCUUAAUAUUUAACACAACAACUUAAAGUUUAAUUACUAAAUUGAAAUUAUAAAUCCAAUACUAAAUUGGAGACCCUCUUGAACAAGACUUUCUUUUUCUUUAAUUUCUAUCUUCUUUGAUAUUUGCUUGAAACUUUUAAUUUUAACAUUUAGAUAUGCGCUUCUUCACACAGGUUUUGUACAUCAAUUUUUUUUCUAAAAUUAAGCUUAACAAAUAAUUUUAUUUAUUGACCAAUAUGCCCCUGAUUCCACUUCCCCAGAAAUUUUUGCCCUAUUUUACACACAGGUGCUCCCGGAGAAGCAACAAUUUGGAGCAUAGCAAAAAAUGGAAGGUGAAUGAGGCAAUAGAGAAUUUGGGAUUUUCUGCUAAGCCAGUGAUUUCUUCAUUAAUGGAACAGAAAGCCAAAAACCCUUUUAAAAGAACAAGAAAAACAAACAUUAUUAAUAUUUUAUUCUUCCAAACACACGCUAAUUAUACUCUUCUUCCUUCUCCUUCUCCUCUCUUUGUAUUGCUGAAUGCUGAUGUUGUAAUGGGGCUAUGGUGAUUGAUUGCUUCCCUUCUGGACUAUGUUCAAUCACGGUAUUGAGGAAAAUAUGACCCGUAUCAUGGCAGGGCAACCCAGUUAAGGCUUUGAGUAGCAAACUGGUGUCUGCAGCCAUGUCUGCGUCGCUCUUCUCUUCUCUUUCACUUUAUUCAAAUACAGCAAGUCUGAGCCCUCAAUAACUCGUUUUAUGGUCUUGGAUGGAUUUGUAUUGAAAUUUCAGCUCUGAAGAAUGUGGCAUUGGAGAAACGGGGAAUUCGAUAGGAAGAAUGAGGCAUUGGAGAAACAGGUCAUUCUAAGGUGAAAAAAACAAAGAAUUUCCCCAAACACGGAAAAGGUUAGCCCAGAAAGAAAGAAUGAGGCAAAAUAGAGAGUUUGGGUUUUCAUUUACAGCUUGUUUGAAUGGUUGUUAAUCUAUUAUAUUGUAUUGUAUUGUAUUGCUUUGUGUUGUUACUAAAUCCAUUUGGUAUGAUCAAGAUAUUACCUUAUUCUUUUUCAUUCUCAUUUUGUCUUUGCUUAUAAUUUAAUUAUCUUAUUUUGUUCUUUACCAUACCUAUUUAUACUAGUUGUAAACUUGUAACCUGUAUCCUAUUAUUUUCUUAGGCUUGUACUUUAAUUUACUGGUGUGUGACAUUACGCAACGACAAAAAAUGAUACAAUCUAAAACAUUGUGUUCAAAAACAAUAUGAUACAACACAAUCCCAUACAAUGUCAUACAUUAUGAAUAAAUAUAUAACAACGAUCCAAACGGAGUGUUGAAGGGUGGUUGCCCCUCGUUCUGCCACAAAGUGGAAAACGGAUUUAACUGUUGUGGAGAUGACCCAUGAAGAGCCAGUUAUGAUAAUUAUAUUUGGGCUAACCAAAUUGGGCAUGGAGAUGACCCGUUCCAAUCUUGGCGUGGCAACCCAGUAUGGCAUGUGAUUGAGACUUCUCUCCCAUGUAACUGGCGUUUGCAGCCAUAUUCUGGUUGGCUUCUCUUUUGCCUUAUCAUAAUACACAUCUGGACACGUUUUGCUUGGAAAGAGAGAAGAGAAAAAGAAUAUUUUUCUGUGAUAUAAUUUUUGUAUAUGUUGAACCUGCCAUUUUCUGAUACAAUAAUGUAUCACCAUGUGUUCCUUAUUAGCUGAACAUAGCAUAGAAGGUAAGAAGAAUGAGGAAUCAGAGAGGUUGGGAUUUCCUGUAAAGGGUGGUUGCCCCUCUCUGCUAUGCCCAUGAUUCUCCAUUGAUAACCAAAAAGACCAACAACCCUUUGUUAUAAACAAAAAUAAAAUAAAAUUCUUUGUGCUGCUGCUGCUUAUCUUGUGAAGAGGUUGUGAAGAGUUAUGGGCUACGUUCAGUCUCCACAUUGAGAAAUAUCCGACCUGUAUAUUGGCUGCGCGACCCAAUAUGUCUUUAUGUAGCUAACUGUCGUCUGCAGCCAUGUUAUGGUCACCUUCUCUUUUGCUGUGGUACAAAAACACAAAUCUGAGCCUAAUGACCAGUUUCAUGGUCUCCAAUAGACAGUUCAUUAUUGAAGGUGAAAAACUCCAAGUAGUUUACCCAAAAUACGAAGGUUACCCAGAAAGAAUGAAAUGAGGCAAAACGGAGAGUAGUGGGACUUUCUUUAAAGGGUGGUUCCUCCUAUCCGUUUUGCCAUUGAUUUUCCUCCAUUAUCAAACAACCAACAGGCCUUUGUUUCAUGAGAAAAGAAGAAGGAGAAAAUACAAAAUGCAAAAUGGAUUUAAUAUAUAUACAAAUCUUUUCUUGUGUGUGUGUACACAUGUGUUUUCUGUGUUGAUGGAAGGUACAUAAAGAGGCAGUGAUGAUGAUGUUUCUAUAUCUGGCUUAACCAAUUUGGGCAUGGAGAUAACCCAUCCCGUAUUUUGGCGUGGCAACACGGUAUGGCCUGUGAUUGAGACUUCUCUCCCAGUCAAAGCCAUGGCUUGGGUGGCUUCUCUUUUGCCUUAUCAUAAAAUACAUUUGAGCCCCAUUUGCUUGGAAAGAGGAAAAAAAAGGAACUUUUCCGUGAUUUUGUUUUAUGUUGGACCUGUAAUUAUCUGCUGCAAGCUAUAAAUCAUCUUAUAGUCCCAAUGUAUCACCAUAUUUGUUCACUGUCAGCUGAUCAUGGCCUUGAAAGGAUGAAGAAUGAGGCGUCAUAGGGAUUGGGGUUUUCCUUAAAGGGUGGGUUGCUCCUCUGCUAUGCCAGUGAUUUCCAUUGAUAUCCAAAAAAAUUAACAGCUCUUUGAAGAAAACGAGAUAGGAAAAAAACAAAAUCGUCAUCCAAACAUGCCCUUUUGGAACAGUUACAGUCAUUGCAUUGAGAUUAUUGGACCCCACUUAUGGGAUACACUGGGUAUGUUUUUUGUUGUUUGAGUAUAUUAUUCACAGCUCGCUUGGAUGGUUGUUAUCGUGACAGUGUUUCUGUGCCCUUCAAAUAUUUUUCUUUUCUUUUUUAAUGCUUUUGCGUAGCAUUGUAUGUUGACGGUGGGAGUGGUAGAAGCGAUGGUGGUGAGUAUAAUCAGUCUGCUUGAAAGAGGUGAGACAAUGAUUUUGAUCAAAUUUUAAUUCCCUUCUGAGCUGAUUAAUUGCACAUUUGAGGUUAACUGAUCCUUAAAGAUUUUCUGAUGGUCUUGCAGCCAUGGCAUUGCUGGGACUCUCUUUUUGAAAGUUGAUGUUAUUGUUUGUUUUGUUCUUUCUCUUUUAUUUGGCUCGUAGCUAUUCUCUUCUGAUCCCAAUGAUGUGUGGAAACGCUUAUUAUGUCGAGAUUGGUUUUUUAUUUGAGUCGGAUGUAUGACAGAAAAUGAGUCUUGUCCACAAAGAUUGGGUAAGGUCUAAGUACAUCCUAACCUUCCACUACACCAAGUAUGUUAUUGUUGAACGGGUGAUGAAAAUAGGUUUUACUAACAAUUGUUAGCAGUCUUACUGUGAUAUUUUAGUCUUCGCUUACUUUUACUUUGAGUUUGAGAUUUUCUUUAUUUGUUCAUUUCUGAUGUUUUGGGAGUUCGCUUACACUUUAUACAUAUUGAUAGCACUGGUAACACUAAAUUGUAUACUGCUAUUGUUUCUACUGCAAAAUUUUACUUUUAUCAUCUUGUUUUUGGUUUCACUUAAUUGUAUAUAUUCUGAGCUUUUAAUUCUUUAAUAUAUGCCAAAUUUGUUAUAUUAUUUUUUGUCUAUUAAUUUUAGCAGAGGCUUUCUACUGUUCGGCUGCCACUGCUCUCAAAUAAACUAGUGUCAAAACUCACUUUCUGUUGGCAGGGUAGAAUGCUAGAGCCUAAUGGAGUGUUCUCAAUUACGCUCGUCCGCUUAUUGUACGUAUUAAUUUCACUCUCUUCCUCUUAGUAAACAUUAAUUUUAAAUAUGAAAAUUCAUUGUAGGUAUCCCUCGAGCAUUUGUUGUUUUUCUAUAUGGAUUAUUUUUGUUCUUUAGGUUCUUCAAAAUUCCGGACUUUCAUUUGUUUCCCGAUGACUACUGGCUAUCUAAAAAGUUAAGUUUUUCAUAAGCCAUGAAAAACGUUUUCCUGCCUCAUAUUGUUUACCAACUUUAGAAAAGAUAAAUGAAGAGAAAUAUGUAUACAUGCAGGACAGGAAGAGAAGACAAAAUUACUGUUAACUGAUUGUGAUUCUGUCUUGUAACUCAUAUGACAAUUUCUUUUAGUCAACAUUAUUUUUGUGUCAAGAAGAUGAUGAAGAGGUAUAUAUUAUUAUGUCUUCCUUUUGCUUCUGGAUUUGCUCCUCUACGCUUAAAUUAUGCAUCAAUACAGAUUGAACUAAGUUACUUAAAUAGUAUAUUCAUUGAAAACACAAGCUUGCAAAAAGGAUUCUUACAACGUGAAGCACAAUUUUGCAAGCAAUGUAUUUAAUAUUAUUUUCUUUGAUAUUUGCUUGAAAUUUUUUAUUUUUAACAUUGACAUAUCUUGUUCUUCACACAGGUUUUGUAUAUAAAUUUUAUUCGUAGUAAUUUAGUGUUUCUAAAAUUAAGCUUAACAAAUAAUCAAGGAUAAUCAACUCAAUUUAAUUUAUUUCAGAAAAAGGCAAAUAGUUUAUCUAUUGACCAAUAUGCCCCUGAUUCCACUUCCCCAGAAUUUUGCCUUAUUUAACACACAGGUACUCUCUGAGAAGCAUCAAAUUCGAGCAUAGCCAAGAAUGGAAGAAGAAUGAGGCGACAGAGAAUUUGGGAUUUUCUCGUAACGGUGGUUGCCCAUCUCCAGUUUGCCAGUGAUUUCUCCGAACAAAAAACCAACAACCCUUUCAAAUGAACCAGGAAAGCCCGCACAACUACUCUUGUUCCUCUUCCUCUUCUCUUUCUCCGCUCUUUUUGCUGCUGUUGUUGUAAUGUGGCUAUGAUGAUUGAUUGCUUCCUCUCUGGGCUAUGUUCAAUCACGGCAAUGAGAAAUCUCCGACACGUAUCUUGGCAGGGCGACCCUGUUAAGGCUUUGAAUAGCAAACUGGUGUCUGCAGCCAUGGCGGCGUCGCUUUUCUCUUUUGCUUUGUUAAGAAAUACAGCAAAAUCUGAGCCCUUAAUAUCUCAUUUCUUGGUCUUGAAUGGUGAUUCCAUUCUCGGGUUGGAAAACCCAUUACGGGUUUGAGACGAAGAAUGAGGCAUCUGAGAAAUUGGGAUUUUCUGCGAAGGGUGGUUGCCCAUCUCUGUUUUGCCAGUGAUUUCGCCAUUCAUAACCAAAAAAAAAACCAACAGCCCUUUAAAAUAAACAAAAUAAAUAAAUAAAAAAUUGGAUGAACUUCGUCCGGACACCCCUACUUUUGUUGUUGUUGUUGUUGAUGAUGAUGUUUUAAAGGGGCUGUGAUGAUUGCUUGCUUCCUUUUUGAGCAUUUUUCAAUCACGACAUUGAGAAAAUCCGACCCGUAUCUUGGCAGGGCAACCUGGUUAAGGCUUUGAAUAGCAAACUAGUGUCUGCAGCCAUGGCGUUGUCGCUCUUCUCUAUCGCUUGAUUCAAAUACAACAAAUCUGAGCCCUCAAUAAUUUGUUUCAUGGUUUUUGAUGGUGAGUCUUCUCAGUUCGGAAAACCUAUUAUGGGUCUGUGUUGAAAAUUCAGCUCUGAAGAAUGAGGCAUACAACGGGAAAUUUGAAGACGAGAAAAACAAAUAAUUUCCCCAAACAUGGAAAAGGUUAGCCUAGAAGGAAAGAAAUGAGCCAAAUUUAUCUUAUUUUAUUCUUUACCAUACCUAUUUAAAGUAGCGUUUAUUCCCAAAUUUGAUGCCCUUUUCUAUAUCUUGAUAGUCCAAAAAUUCUGAGGCUAUGAAGAUUAUCCUAAAAAAGACAGGAAAACAUUUGAGUUAAUUCCAAGACGUGGCUUGGCAAAGACAACUUGGAAGGUCUGUGAAAGAGGAUGAGAAAUGAUAAGUUUCUUGUUGUCCGUUAUUACGAGGCAACCAAUCUUUGCAGCCAUGCCUGUUUUAUCUCUGCUCUUUGAUUACAUAGGCGAAAAUCUGAGCCUCCUACCUCAAUUUAACAUAACGUUUCAUGAUUUGAUCACUGAAACAGUAUCUGUUAGGGGCUUUCUUGAAUUGAUCUAAAAAUUCAGUUACUGCUUUUAAAUCUUAAAAUUGAUUUUAUUUUUUCAAAAAUGUGUGAGAUAAUUUGAUUUUCAUGAAAAGAGUGGCAAACAAUGUCAUGGUCUCGAGUCUUGAUACCUUCAUGUCUCCACUAACUUAUUUCUGAAAUUUGGUGACUGGUCACAAGCAAGAGUCGAUGAUAGCUAACACAGGUGAUGGUAAAUGUUGAUAGGAAAGUAAAAACAUUCAUUUCUGAAAUUUGAUGACUGGUCCCAAACAAGAGUCGAUGGUAGCAAAACACAAGUGGCUAUGAAUGUUGAUAGGAAAGUAGAACUACUUUAAGCUUCAACUGACAAGUCUAUCUAAAGUUUGGUGAGUAAUAAACUUGGUAUAUUGGACUUUCUUUUUCAUUAUCAGUUAUCCUAAUGGUAAGUAAUAAUAACUUCUAUGCAUCAUGAGUAUAUCUCUUGCAAAGAAACCCUCAAAUUGUCAAUGCAUGGUGAAUUCUGUAUUAGCGCUCUUUUGUAAGUCAGAAUGUCCUUGAGUCUCACUGGACUUUUACUUGACAUGCUCAAAGCCUCUUGUUGCAAGGUCUUUAGCAUCUUGAAGACAGUUACAGAACUUUUGCCUUACGAUUCCAAGAAUUCUGGGAGCUUAAUCUUUAUCUUGUACUUUCUUGUGGUUCCUUUAGAGACUCUUCACUAAAAAAUCACUGGACAUUUAGUUGGAACAGGUGUGAAAUUGGGAGGGACGGGUAUUAAGAAGUAGUAGUGAUUGAAUAGUUAUGUUGUGUAUAUGAGCAAGCAUUAUCCCUCUAUUGUAAUUUUUGCUUGCAUUUUCUGGAUACCUUUAAUGAUUUACCUUUACUUCAUAAAAAUAAGUAUUGUCAAGGUCAAAGCGAAAAUCUUCAAAAAACAUUCUUAUUUGUUCAUCUGAGUUGCUCAUCCUGAUGUUGUAGUUUUGGACGAGAUCAGCUGAAGACCAGCUGAGUGCAAACUACAUCUUCUUGGUGCAUGGACAAAAACAAAUUGCUUCAUUAUACUUAAUGAAUGGGGCUUUAAGACAGUUUCAUGAUGUUUAACCAUUUUCUUAAUCUUGUCCAAAUUUUGCAGACUCUACUGGAGAUAAAGAGAAGGAACACUUCCAUACCUGGGUCUGCCGUGGCUGUAAAAAGUAAACUCUAUGCAUGAAGUUGUCGUUUGCAUAAUCAUAUGCAUAGUACUUCAGGGCAUGGAGAACUCAUUAAAAAUGGUUUGUGAUUUCUACUUCACCUUUAUUUUUAUGUCUUA